rnacentral:lncRNA from 1 species
AACAAUUAAAUAUUUUUCAUGUCUAUUUUUUGAACAUUAAGCUCCCGUUUGGUUCGGGGUUAAGAAAAAGUAGCUAUUCCAGGGAUAGGGUUAAGUUCAGGAUUAAAUUAGUGUUAAAAUUUUUUUGUGUUUGGUUGGAGGUUGGAGUUAGUAUAGGAUAGUAAAAAAAGUGUUUGGUUGGAGUAGAUGGGAUAAGAAGAUAAUGAUUGAUAAAGAAGAAAAAGGUGAGAGCUCGGGAUGCGUGCGGGGUUAAAGUUGGGAGGGGGAGUGGGAUUAAUGAUUGAUAAAGAAGAAAAAUGUGAGGGCUUGGAAUGCGUGCGGGAUUAAAGUUGUGAGGGGGAGUAGGGUUAGUAAACCCCACUAACCCGGUUUGGGGUGGGGUUAGUAAGGUUUGGGGUGGGGUUUACUAACCCCACCCCAAAAGAGUGGUGUUUGGGUAUAAAUUGGGGGUUAAGGGG